rnacentral:rRNA from 1 species
UCACCAGACUCCUACGGGAGGCAGCAGUGGGGAAUAUUGCACAAUGGGCGAAAGCCUGAUGCAGCAACGCCGCGUGAAGGAAGAAGGCCUUCGGGUCGUAAACUUCUGUCCUUGGGGAAGAAGAACUGACGGUACCCAAGGAGGAAGCCCCGGCUAACUACGUGCCAGCAGCCGCGGUAAUACGUAGGGGGCAAGCGUUAUCCGGAUUUAUUGGGUGUAAAGGGUGCGUAGAUGGAUAAACAAGUUGGUUGUGAAAUCCCUCGGCUUAACUGAGGAAUUGCAACCAAAACUGUAGAUCUUGAGUACUGGAGGGGAAAGCGGAAUUCCUAGUGUAGCGGUGAAAUGCGUAGAUAUUAGGAAGAACACCGGUGGCGAAGGCGGCUUUCUGGACAGAAACUGACAUUGAGGCACGAAAGUGUGGGGAGCAAACAGGAUUAGAUACCCCCGUAUA